UACGAAGGGGGCUAGCGUUGCUCGGAAUCACUGGGCGUAAAGGGUGCGUAGGCGGGUCUUAAGUCAGGGGUGAAAUCCUGGAGCUCAACUCCAGAACUGCCUUUGAUACUGAAGAUCUUGAGUUCGGGAGAGGUGAGUGGAACUGCGAGUGUAGAGGGUGAAAAUUCGUAGAUAUUCGCAAGAACACCAGUGGCGAAGGCGGCUCACUGGCCCCGGUACUGACGCUGAGGCAC
rnacentral:rRNA from 1 species